rnacentral:rRNA from 1 species
GAUGAACGCUGGCGGCGUGCCUAAUACAUGCAAGUCGAGCGAACAGACGAGGAGCUUGCUCCUCUGACGUUAGCGGCGGACGGGUGAGUAACACGUGGAUAACCUACCUAUAAGACUGGGAUAACUUAGGGAAACCGGAGCUAAUACCGGAUAAUAUAUUGAACCGCAUGGUUCAAUAGUGAAAGACGGUUUUGCUGUCACUUAUAGAUGGAUCCGCGCCGCAUUAGCUAGUUGGUAAGGUAACGGCCUACCAAGGCAACGAUGCGUAGCCGACCUGAGAGGGUGAUCGGCCACACUGGAACUGAGACACGGUCCAGACUCCUACGGGAGGCAGCAGUAGGGAAUCUUCCGCAAUGGGCGAAAGCCUGACGGAGCAACGCCGCGUGAGUGAUGAAGGUCUUCGGAUCGUAAAACUCUGUUAUUAGGGAAGAACAAAUGUGUAAGUAACUAUGCACGUCUUGACGGUACCUAAUCAGAAAGCCACGGCUAACUACGUG